GAUUUUCUAGUUUUCUGCAGUCAGAAGUUGUGCGGGUCUGAAAACGGCAUGAAGGCUGACAACACAGACACUGGGGACUGGCCAUGGAGAGGAUCAGUUAAAAGUAUUAUCUAGGUAGUUCAAAACUGACUGAAGUCACUCUGGCAAAGCCAGGAAUCUGAGCGUGGCCUGGUGUGGUAGACUGGAUAUCUCAGCAGUUUCUAUCUGACACUGAAGGCCUGGUGGAUUCCUGUUGAGCUGUUUGUCUUCAGCACAUGCCAGAAGCCUGAGGUAGCUGGUUUAAGUGUCAAAGAAGAACCCAGUAGCCACAAUUGCUAGAUGGACUCAGCAGUAAGAGCAAAGGUGGGAGAGCCAUCUGAUGACAUCCUUUGAAGAAAGCUGAGCAUUUGUCCAGCACCACUCCAUCAGAUUUUCUGAAGUACAGUACUUGCCACUAAAAGGAAGUGGGAUAUGGAGCUUCAGGUAACUAAUUUUCCCACUAUCCCUUUCUUAGAUUGUAAUGGAACCUUCAUUAUGAAUAGACAAACAUAGUGUAGAGCCACAAGGCCUUCAAGACACCUUUCCUUUCAUCUUU
rnacentral:lncRNA from 1 species